rnacentral:rRNA from 1 species
GGUUUAGGGCACUGGAAGGUCCCUAAACCGAAAGGGGCUCUGCCCGCCCGAGGAUGGGCCGGCGGCCGAUUAGGUAGUUGGUGGGGUAACGGCCCACCAAGCCCAUAAUCGGUACGGGCAGUGAGAGCUGGAGCCCGGAGAUGGACACUGAGACACGGGUCCAGGCCCUACGGGGCGCAGCAGGCGCGAAACCUCCGCAAUGCUCGAAAGAGCGACGGGGGGACCCCAAGUGCCGUGGUACAACCACGGCUUUUCCGGAGUGUAAGAAGCUCCGGGAAUAAGGGCUGGGCAAGGCCGGUGGCAGCCGCCGCGGUAAUACCGGCGGCCCGAGUGGUGGCCACUAUUAUUGGGCCUAAAGCGUCCGUAGCCGGGCUUGUAAGUCCCUGGCGAAAUCCCACGGCUCAACCGUGGGGCUUGCUGGGGAUACUGCAAGCCUUGGGACCGGGAGAGGCCGGGGGUACUCCUGGGGUAGGGGUGAAAUCCUAUAAUCCCAGGAGGACCGCCAGUGGCGAAGGCGCCCGGCUGGAACGGGUCCGACGGUGAGGGACGAAGGCCAGGGGAGCAAACCGGAUUAGAUACCCGGGUAGUCCUGGCUGUAAAGGAUGCGGGCUAGGUGUUGCUUGGACCUCGAGUCCAAGCAGUGCCGC